UGGUGGGGUGACUUGUCUGCUUAAUUGCGAUAACGAACGAGACCUUAACCUGCUAAGUAGCCCGCAUUGCUCCGGCAGUGCGCUGGCUUCUUAGAGGGACUUUCGGCUCAAGCCGAAGGAAGUUUGAGGCAAUAACA
rnacentral:rRNA from 1 species